UGGGGAAUAUUGCACAAUGGGCGAAAGCCUGAUGCAGCAACGCCGCGUGCGGGAUGACGGCCUUCGGGUUGUAAACCGCUUUCAGCAGGGACGAAGGUUUUCUGACGGUACCUGCAGAAGAAGCACCGGCUAACUACGUGCCAGCAGCCGCGGUGAUACGUAGGGUGCGAGCGUUGUCCGGAAUUAUUGGGCGUAAAGAGCUUGUAGGCGGUCCGUUGCGUCGGAAGUGAAAACUCAGGGCUUAACCCUGAGCCUGCUUUCGAUACGGGCGGACUUGAGGGAUGUAGGGGAGAACGGAAUUCCUGGUGGAGCGGUGGAAUGCGCAGAUAUCAGGAGGAACACCAGUGGCGAAGGCGGUUCUCUGGACAUUUCCUGACGCUGAGAAGCGAAAGCGUGGGGAGCAAACAGGCUUAGAUACCCUGGUAGUCGACGCCGUAAACGGU
rnacentral:rRNA from 1 species